UACGGGGGGGGUAAGCGUUGUUCGGAAUUACUGGGCGUAAAGGGCUCGUAGGCGGCCAACUAAGUCAUACGUGAAAUCCCUCAGCUUAACUGGGGAACUGCGUGUGAUACUGGAUGGCUUGAGAUUGGGAGAGGGAUGCGGAAUUCCAGGUGUAGCGGUGAAAUGCGCAGAUAUCAGGAGGAACACCGGUGGCGAAGGCGGUUCUCUGGCCCGGUUCUGACGCUGAGGCGCGAAAGCGUGGGGAGCAAACAGG
rnacentral:rRNA from 1 species